rnacentral:lncRNA from 1 species
AACACCAUGGUCAAAAUACAAAAUCCGAAGAUACAAAUAGAAUUAACAUAAAAACUGAAAAAAUACAAAAACUUAACCCACUAAGGGCUCAGGACUCCUCUUCGCUACCGGCCUCAGAACCGGUAGCCUCAUCAUCAUCAUCAGCAUCAUCAGCAUCAGCGUCCACCCCCUCACCAUAGACUGGCCUGUCCACAGGCCAAUUAGCGUUAAGCAUAAACUGCUCACGCGCCAACAAUGC